UACGUAGGGUGCAAGCGUUAAUCGGAAUUACUGGGCGUAAAGCGUGCGCAGGCGGUUUUGUAAGUCUGAUGUGAAAUCCCCGAGCUCAACCUGGGAAUUGCAUUGGAGACUGCAAGGCUAGAAUCUGGCAGAGGGGGGUAGAAUUCCACGUGUAGCAGUGAAAUGCGUAGAGAUGUGGAGGAACACCGAUGGCGAAGGCAGCCCCCUGGGUCAAGAUUGACGCUCAUGCACGAAAGCGUGGGGAGCAAACAGG
rnacentral:rRNA from 1 species